GAUGAACGCUGGCGGCGUGCCUAAUACAUGCAAGUCGAGCGAACAGAUAAGGAGCUUGCUCCUUUGAAGUUAGCGGCGGACGGGUGAGUAACACGUGGGUAACCUACCUAUAAGACUGGGAUAACUUCGGGAAACCGGAGCUAAUACCGGAUAACAUUUAGAACCGCAUGGUUCUAAAGUGAAAGAUGGUUUUGCUAUCACUUAUAGAUGGACCCGCGCCGUAUUAGCUAGUUGGUAAGGUAACGGCUUACCAAGGCGACGAUACGUAGCCGACCUGAGAGGGUGAUCGGCCACACUGGAACUGAGACACGGUCCAGACUCCUACGGGAGGCAGCAGUAGGGAAUCUUCCGCAAUGGGCGAAAGCCUGACGGAGCAACGCCGCGUGAGUGAUGAAGGGUUUCGGCUCGUAAAACUCUGUUAUUAGGGAAGAACAAAUGUGUAAGUAACUGUGCACAUCUUGACGGUACCUAAUCAGGAAGCCACGGCUAACUACGUG
rnacentral:rRNA from 1 species